rnacentral:rRNA from 1 species
CGAACGCUGGCGGCGUGGAUAAGACAUGCAAGUCGAACGGGACAUUAUGAGUAGCAAUACAAGUGAUGUUUAGUGGCGAACGGGUGCGUAACACGUGGAUACAUUCCGGAAAGCGGGGGAUAGCCCAGGGAAACUUGGAUUAAUACCGCAUGUGGUCGAAAGACUAAAGACGGGGAUCGAAAGACCUGUCACUUUCCGAUUGGUCCGCGGCCUAUCAGCUAGUUGGCGGGGUAAAAGCCCACCAAGGCGACGACGGGUAGCUGGUCUUAGAGGACGACCAGCCACACUGGAACUGAGACACGGUCCAGACACCUACGGGUGGCAGCAGUCGAGAAUCUUUCACAAUGGGGGCAACCCUGAUGGAGCGACGCCGCGUGGAGGAUAAGGUCUUCGGAUUGUAAACUCCUGUCAUGCGUGAACAAGGUUGCUUGGUUAAUACCUGAGCAAAUUGAUGGUAGCGCAAGAGGAAGAGACGGCUAACUCUGUGCCAGCAGCCGCGGUAAUACAGAGGUCUCAAGCGUUGUUCGGAAUCACUGGGCGUAAAGGGUGCGUAGGUGGCGUGGCAAGUCAGAUGUGAAAGCCUGGGGCUCAACCUCAGAACUGCAUCCGAUACUGCCAUGCUAGAGUACUGGAGGGGUGACUAGAAUUCUCGGUGUAGCAGUGAAAUGCGUAGAUAUCGAGAGGAAUACCAAAGGCGUAGGCAGGUCACUGGACAGUUACUGACACUGAGGCACGAAGGCCAGGGGAGCGAACGGGAUUAGAUACCCCGGUAGUCCUGGCAGUAAACGGUGCACACUUGG